UCUUUGUUAAUCUGACUGUUAUUUCUAUUGUCAUUUACCUAUCAAAAAGACGAAAGUACAGAGAUGUUGACCAUUCAUGGUUGUCCAGUUUCAUUGACGUCCGUAAACCUGAUAUCCAGCCUAGAGUUUUAUUCAGAAGUGACAUUCCAUUUCUAAGAUUCUAAAUAAGGAAGUAACCCCAUUAUUACAUGUAGAAGA